rnacentral:rRNA from 1 species
ACCCCCUUCGGGUGGGGAUUAGUGGCGAACGGGUGAGUAACACGUGGGCAAUCUGCCCUGCACUCUGGGACAAGCCCUGGAAACGGGGUCUAAUACCGGAUACUGAACCGCUUGGGCAUCCGCGCGGUUCGAAAGCUCCGGCGGUGCAGGAUGAGCCCGCGGCCUAUCAGCUUGUUGGUGAGGUAACGGCUCACCAAGGCGACGACGGGUAGCCGGCCUGAGAGGGCGACCGGCCACACUGGGACUGAGACACGGCCCAGACUCCUACGGGAGGCAGCAGUGGGGAAUAUUGCACAAUGGGCGAAAGCCUGAUGCAGCGACGCCGCGUGAGGGAUGACGGCCUUCGGGUUGUAAACCUCUUUCAGCAGGGAAGAAGCGAAAGUGACGGUACCUGCAGAAGAAGCGCCGGCUAACUACGUGCCAGCAGCCGCGGUAAUACGUAGGGCGCGAGCGUUGUCCGGAAUUAUUGGGCGUAAAGAGCUCGUAGGCGGCUUGUCGCGUCGGUUGUGAAAGCCCGGGGCUUAACCCCGGGUCUGCAGUCGAUACGGGCAGGCUAGAGUUCGGUAGGGGAGAUCGGAAUUCCUGGUGUAGCGGUGAAAUGCGCAGA